rnacentral:piRNA from 1 species
UCCCACUACAUUCAAGACUCCAGUUCCUAC